GAAACAGUGAAACAGGAUUGGUGGCCUGCUUCAAAGAUUCGGUUAGGAACAACAACAAAGGAAACACAGAUCAAUAGACUCAAUGGCCUAAUAUCCUCAUAUCAUGGCAUGCGGUAUCCUCGAAUUGUUUUUUUUUUUUUUUUUUCACUUGAAAAAAUGACUGUCAUCUUCAGAAGGGCCAGAUUAUUUAUCAUCAGAGGAAUUACUUAGACCAGUUCCUGAUGCUGGACAUUUACAGGGAUCAGAUCAAUAAUCAGAAGCGCUGUUUCUUUUGCUUUCAUCAGUACUCCAAAUCACAGCUUGUGCUCUUUGCCAUCAUGAAGUCUUGGAGAUUAUGGCCAGUAAUUAGCUCUGGACUGUGUCUGGUAAUAAAAUUUCGAGUUCAAUCAGUAAUAGCAAAUACAUUUGUGAUAUUUUUGCUUGUACAAUUGGAGCUUUGAGCUGAAACAGACAGAAGGACCAACUGUCCUUGCUUUGCAAUCAGAACCAUUAGAAGAUGGAACAGAACUUAUUGACAGUGCAUAACGUCCUAUUGCAGUCUGCUAUGUAUCUUGAUAGCCAUUGGAUUCAAAAAAGCUCGUUUCAGUUGUCCACAUUCAUUAGUCUGCUAUGUAUCUUGAUAAAAAGUCAUGGUAAAAUAUUAUAUGCUUUCUCUUUUUAAUGGGUCCAACUACUACUUUGGAAAAGCAUGCUCAAUAUCAUGAUUCUGUUGUUUUGACAUUUAGCUUAAAGUUAAAAAAAAAAAAAUUCAUAUUGAAUUUUUUUACCA